rnacentral:tRNA from 1 species
UCCGUUUUGGCAGAUAGUAUGUGAGGGAUUUAGGUUCUCUUUAGGUUUCGGAUGUGG